CCGAGUUAUCAACUCCCAAACCCCUGUGAACAUACCUUUUGUUGCCUCGGCGGGAUCGCCCCGGCGCCUCCGGGCCCGGAUCCAGGCGCCCGCCGCAGGACCCAAACUCUUGUUUUCUAUAUGAAUCUUCUGAGUGACACAGCAAAUAAAUUA
rnacentral:misc_RNA from 1 species